UGUGGGAGCGGGCUUGCUCGCGAAAGCGGCUAUUCAGUAAUGCAUCAAGUGACUGACACACCGCAUUCGCGAGCAAGCCCGCUCCCACA
rnacentral:misc_RNA from 1 species